ACGGGGGCCCGCACAAGCGGUGGAGCAUGUGGUUUAAUUCGAAGCGAACGCGAAGAACCUUACCAGGUCUUGACAUCCCGAUGCUAUUUCUAGAGAUAGAAAGUUACUUCGGUACAUCGGUGACAGGUGGUGCAUGGUUGUCGUCAGCUCGUGUCGUGAGAUGUUGGGUUAAGUCCCGCAACGAGCGCAACCCCUAUUGUUAGUUGCCAUCAUUCAGUUGGGCACUCUAGCGAGACUGCCGGUAAUAAACCGGAGGAAGUGGGGAUGACGUCAAAUCAUCAUGCCCCUUAUGACCUGGGCUACACACGUGCUACAAUGGUUGGUACAACGAGUUGCGAGUCGGUGACGGCGAGCUAAUCUCUUAAAGCCAAUCUCAGUUCGGAUUGUAGGCUGCAACUCGCCUACAUGAAGUCGGAAUCGCUAGGUAAUCGCGGAUCAGCACGCCGCGGUGAAUACGUUCCCGGGCCUU
rnacentral:rRNA from 1 species